rnacentral:rRNA from 1 species
UACGUAGGGGGCAAGCGUUGUCCGGAUUUAUUGGGCGUAAAGAGCGUGUAGGCGGUUUGGUAGGUCCGCUGUGAAAACUCGAGGCUCAACCUCGGGCUUGCAGUGGGUACGGGCAGACUAGAGUGUGGUAGGGGAGACUGGAAUUCCUGGUGUAGCGGUGGAAUGCGCAGAUAUCAGGAGGAACACCGAUGGCGAAGGCAGGUCUCUGGGCCAUUACUGACACUGAGAAGCGAAAGCAUGGGGAGCGAACAGG